AAUUAGUUACUGUUUAUUUGGGAAUCCAGCUCCAGGUCAGCUUCUAGGGAGGAGGCCUGGGAGGAGGAAGACGUGUGAUGAGCUGAAAGAAACUGGAAGGUGCCAGGGCUUGAGGGGAGAGACUGUCCCUAAAGCACCGUCAGAGACGGCGAGAACUGGAGAGAAGGAGCCGAAUGCCUGGCACCUCAUCGGCUGUUUACAAAAGAAGAAGGAAAAAAAAAAAGAUAAAUGAAGAAAGAAAAACAAGUAGCAGCUACCAAUUGCUCUCUAAAUGUUCUUUUAAAUAAAUAGUCAUUUCAGACCUAGAAU
rnacentral:lncRNA from 1 species